rnacentral:rRNA from 1 species
ACUCCUACGGGAGGCAGCAGUGGGGAAUAUUGCACAAUGGGGGAAACCCUGAUGCAGCCAUGCCGCGUGUGUGAAGAAGGCCUUCGGUUGUAAAGCACUUUCAGUAGGGAGGAAGGUAGUGUAGUUAACACCUGCAUUAUUUGUACGUUACCUACAGAAGAAGCACCGGCUAACUCCGUGCCAGCAGCCGCGGUAAGUACGGAGGGUGCGAGCGUUAAUACGGAAUUACGUGGGCGUAAAGCGCAUGCAGGCGGCUUGUUAAGUCAGAUGUGAAAGCCCGGGGUCUUAACCUCGGAAUUGCAUUUGAAACUGGCAGGCUAGAGUCUGUAGAGGGGUUAGAAUUUCAGGUGUAGCGGUGAAAUGCGUAGAGAUCUGAAGG